rnacentral:rRNA from 1 species
UCAUAGCGACUAUCGUGGCAUAUCAAUAAGCGGAGGAAAAGAAACUAACAAGGAUUCCCUAGUAACGGCGAGUGAAGCGGGAAGAGCUCAAAUUUGAAAGUCUUCAAGGUUUUACCUUGACGAAUUGUAGUUUAAAGAAGUGUUUUCUGUUGAAGUUUUGGUAAAAGUUCUUUGGAAUAGGACAUCAUAGAGGGUGAGAAUCCCGUAUUUGACCAUUAUUUUCCAGCUGUGUGAUACACUUUCAAAGAGUCGGAUUGUUUGGGAAUGCAGUCCAAAAUGGGUGGUAAAUUUCAUCUAAAGCUAAAUAUUGGCGAGAGACCGAUAGCGAACAAGUACCGUGAGGGAAAGAUGAAAAGAACUUUGAAAAGAGAGUUAAACAGUACGUGAAAUUGUCAAAAGGGAAGCGUUUGACACCAGUGUUGUUUUCUCGAAAAUCAAUUAAAAAUGAUGGGAUUUUGUGUUGUAUUGACUUUAUCAGCUUUCUGCACUUUUUUCUUAUCUUUUUUAAUGCACUUUUCGUUUAACAAGUCAACAUCAAUUUCUUUUGUUGUAAAAGAGUCAUUGGAAGGUGGCUUUUUCUUCGGAAAAAGUGUUUAUAGCCUUUGGCUUCUGCAAUCGGAGAGAUUGAGGUCUGCAGCGUAGAUCCUUCGGGGUUAGAUACAUUUGUGCUAAGCUAUAGUUCUUUAUAGACAACUUGUUGACUAUAGUCUAGUCCUGUAGCUUACUCGCUUAUGCUAUUUUACCUACGCUUAGGAUGUUGACGAGACUGUCGAUCUC